rnacentral:rRNA from 1 species
AGAGUUUGAUUCUGGCUCAGAACGAACGCUGGCGGCGUGGAUAAGACAUGCAAGUCGAACGGGAGAAUUGCUAGCUUGCUAAUAAUUCUCUAGUGGCGCACGGGUGAGUAACACGUGAGUAACCUGCCUCUUAGUGGGGGAUAGCCCUGGGAAACCGGGAUUAAUACCGCAUACGAUUGAAAGAUCAAAGCAGCAAUGCGCUAGGAGAUGGGCUCGCGGCCUAUUAGUUAGUUGGUGAGGUAACGGCUCACCAAGGCGAUGACGGGUAGCCGGUCUGAGAGGAUGUCCGGCCACACUGGAACUGAGACACGGUCCAGACACCUACGGGUGGCAGCAGUCGAGAAUCAUUCACAAUGGGGGCAACCCUGAUGGUGCGACGCCGCGUGGGGGAAUGAAGGUCUUCGGAUUGUAAACCCCUGUCAUGUGGGAGCAAAUUAAAAAGAUAGUACCACAAGAGGAAGAGACGGCUAACUCUGUGCCAGCAGCCGCGGUAAUACAGAGGUCUCAAGCGUUGUUCGGAAUCACUGGGCGUAAAGCGUGCGUAGGCUGUUUCGUAAGUCGUGUGUGAAAGGCAGGGGCUCAACCCCUGGAUUGCACAUGAUACUGCGAGACUAGAGUAAUGGAGGGGGAACCGGAAUUCUCGGUGUAGCAGUGAAAUGCGUAGAUAUCGAGAGGAACACUCGUGGCGAAGGCGGGUUCCUGGACAUUAACUGACGCUGAGGCACGAAGGCCAGGGGAGCGAAAGGGAUUAGAUACCCCUGUAGUCCUGGCAGUAAACGGUGCACGCUUGGUGUGCGGGGAAUCGACCCCCUGCGUGCCGGAGCUAACGCGUUAAGCGUGCCGCCUGGGGAGUACGGUCGCAAGAUUAAAACUCAAAGAAAUUGACGGGGACCCGCACAAGCGGUGGAGUAUGUGGCUUAAUUCGAUGCAACGCGAAGAACCUUACCUGGGCUUGACAUGUAAUGAACAACAUGUGAAAGCAUGCGACUCUUCGGAGGCGUUACACAGGUGCUGCAUGGCCGUCGUCAGCUCGUGUCGUGAGAUGUUUGGUUAAGUCCAGCAACGAGCGCAACCCCUGUUGCCAGUUACCAUCGAGUAAUGUCGGGGACUCUGGCGAGACUGCCCAGAUCAACUGGGAGGAAGGUGGGGACGACGUCAGGUCAGUAUGGCCCUUAUGCCCAGGGCUGCACACGUACUACAAUGCCCAGUACAGAGGGGGCCGAAGCCGCGAGGCGGAGGAAAUCCUGAAAACUGGGCCCAGUUCGGACUGUAGGCUGCAACCCGCCUACACGAAGCCGGAAUCGCUAGUAAUGGCGCAUCAGCUACGGCGCCGUGAAUACGUUCCCGGGUCUUGUACACACCGCCCGUCACAUCAUGGAAGCCGGUCGCACCCGAAGUAUCUGAAGCCAACCGCAAGGAGGCAGGGUCCUAAGGUGAGACUGGUAACUGGGAUGAAGUCGU